AUCACCUCUCGGCCUUUUGGCUAAGAUCAAGUGUAGUAUCUGUUCUUAUCAGUAAAUAGUAGUUAUACUGUAUUGCUUAGAGAAUAAUGACCCCCCAAAAAAAGUCUGCAUUGUUUAGAACAGGUGAAAUUCUUUUUGAAUAUUUGUGAUCUGUGGUUGGCUGAAUUCAUGGACACAGAACCCAUC
ensembl:snRNA U2 U2 spliceosomal RNA